rnacentral:misc_RNA from 1 species
UCCGGUUUGUCACCGGCAGUCAUCCUAGAGUGCCCAUCAUUACAUGCUGGCAACUAAGAUCAAGGGUUGCGCUCGUUGCGGGACUUAACCCAACAUCUCACGACACGAGCUGACGACAACCAUGCACCACCUGUCUCCAAUGCUCCGAAGAGGGGUACUAUCUCUAAUACUUUCAUUGGGAUGUCAAGACCUGGUAAGGUUCUUCGCGUUGCUUCGAAUUAAACCACAUACUCCACUGCUUGUGCGGGUCCCCGUCAAUUCCUUUGAGUUUCAGUCUUGCGGCCGUACUCCCCAGGCGGGGUGCUUAAUGCGUUAGCUUCGGCACGGAGGGAGUCGACACCCCCCACACCUAGCACCCAUCGUUUACAGCGUGGACUAC